rnacentral:misc_RNA from 1 species
UCGUACAAAAUGUGUGAGGCAUGCUGCGAGGGCUGUCGCUGACUCAAAGUCGUGCACGCGCCGGAGUGUGUCCUCUCACAUAACAAUCCAUCUCACCCUUUGUGCACCACCGCGUGGGCACCCUUUGGGAUCGCAUCGAUCUCAGAGGGGGCUCACGUUUUCACACAAAAAACCCCCCUUUUGAAAAAGUGUAGAAUGUCCUCGUUUAUGCAAUCAAUA